GAUCGCCAAGGCUGUUAAAUGUCCCAUACCCAUAAACAUGUUUUCGCAUCUGACACACAGCCAUUCCUUGGCGUUGGCUGAGUCUCACUCUCAUGCGAUGGUCCACGUAAAGUGCACUCAAAUCUUUACCUCAGGAGAUAUUUCAUCCAACAUCUCCCUCCGGAGGUAAAUAAAUAACUGAGUUACUGUGCCCCUCUUAUAAGCAGUCCAUGAAAACUCCCACCACUGCAGUGACUAUGGAUUAUUUUAUCUACCACCUGAUUUAUAAAAUCCUUAUCUGCAUGACAUGACAAUUUAUCGCAAUCUAGCCUCUCAAGGCUGAAUACAUAGUAUAUAUAAUUUUGAUACAAAUAUCGACUUUGCCAUUCAUGCUCAAAUAUUGCUAUAAGCCAUAUAAUUUAAAACACAAUUUAUAACACAAGCAGGCAGUCUCCAAUUACUCUAUUUUUAAAACCAGUAUUCAAUUUUUCAUAAAAUUUAUAAAAUUAUUUUAUAAAAUCACAAUUUCUCCUAAAACAUAGUAAUUUACUAUUUAAACUCAUUUUCUAUAAAAUCACACAAUUGUAUAAAACUACUUUAGAUAAUUAAAAAGAUAAUAAGUUUACUCACAGUUCUAGGAGUCGAUGUACUCCUAAUCCCAGUCUUCAAGCAUAAUCUCUGUACUUUUACUAGUGUAAUUUACUCACCACCAAUCCACAAUGUACAAUACAUAAUUCACCACAUUAAUGCUUGACCAUCAUAAAAUCAAUUUAGGCUCGGUGUAUAUGCAUGAUAUGAUAUGCAACUUAUCCGACUACCGCUUAAAUGCGGUGCUGACCUAAUUCGGCCUAUUACCCGAUUAAAUGACAAUUGUGUCUGAUUUGGCUCCAAAUUGCUCCAUUUCAUUUCUAAUACCUCAAUUCACAAAACAUUAUUCAAAUAACACCAAUUUCAGCAUCAAAACCUUCCCAUUUCUUCAUGAAAAAUUUUGGCCAUUACAGUGCACUAACACCGUGAUUUUUCCUACUUAAUUUUCUCACCAUUAUUCAUCAUUUUCUAAGCCAUUUCUCUUGAAAUAAUAACAAUCCAUCACCCACACACAUCAAGGAAGAUUAGGCCAAUGAAGAUUCAUGGGGAAAAUGGAUUCGUUUCUUGUUGUUUUGCUUCUAAAUAUACUAAACUAGCUAAAAACACUAACAUAUCUUAAAAUCAAUUCAAUCCAACAUAUUUCUCUCUCCUUACCUAUUUUGACCGGCCAUGAAUUCAUCAUGAAAACAUGUAAUUUAACUAUGAAAAUUAAGGGAAAAUGCAUAGGUAAGGUAAAUCACUAGCAAAAUCAAAGAAAUUUUACCUUUGCUUGAUCAAAUCCUUGAAUUCCAACACUUUCUCUUUGAUUUUUCCCACCUAGGGUUUGUUCUUCUUUGGUUUCUCUUCUCUUCUGGUUUGGC
rnacentral:lncRNA from 1 species